GAUCACAGCGCCUGAGACCAGAGCAUCGCCCGCGCCGCGCCGCGCCUACUCCUCGCCUAUCUUUCGGAUAAUAGAUUUGACGAUUUUGUGAAGUGAUAGUGAUAUCUCAAAAUGCUGCACUAGAUUCAAAUUGAGCCAAAGAUUAAUUGAGAUUAUUUAACAUUGUUACCCAGAUUCAGUACUAGUAUGGAGUCGGAAACGAACACAACGGUGGGUGAUGGCGAAAAUCAACAGGAAUUACAAACCACUACCGAGGCUCUACAACUCGUAAAACAUGAAGAGAGAAACGAGAUAGAUCAGUCUGCAAACAGGACUACGAGUUCUCCGGCCGAUACCGCGGUCGACCAACAGCAUUCCCCGCAUCCGCAGUCGCAGUCAGUAAUAACAUCUCGCAGAGCCGUGCGCACUAUCACUGCCGCUGGACACAUCACCACAGAUGACGUUGACGUCAAUCCUGAAGAUGGCGUCAAAGACGAGCCCCCCGAACCACCGCCGGUAGAACAUGAACAGCAUUCCAUGCACCAAUAUACACCAAAACUGGAAGAAAACGAGGCACGGAAUGUUGCGCAGCAACACUACGACGAAGAAAGGCUACGUUUAGCCGAAGCAGAAACAGCUCGAUAUUUAGCUUUUAAACCGGAAUCUUAUAGAUCACUACCGUCCCCAGAUAAACGCAUGCAGGUACAAUAUGCUCGUGCUCCGCAACGCCCUGCAUAUGGUAGGGGACUAUCUUUGCGGUACGGUGCGUCGCAUCAUGUUAUAGUCGCUCAGGAAAAUAAUGCAGAAGAUCACGAUCCGGAUGCUUUCCUAGGACCCAAAGACAAGCCAGAACAAUUACAAUACGCCCAAAAUGAUGACAUCGGUGCCCCGGGCACAAGUGAUGGCAGGCAAUAUGGAGCAGUUUUGAGUGAUCAAGUGUCGGCGUCGUCAUCUCUCGAAAUGAUACAGACGACUUCUUUAAACAGUCAACAAGCAAUCGGUGUUGCGUACCAACAAGUUAAAUAUGAGACCAGAGGAGAACCUGAAUUACGACCGACGACAUAUGCGAGUCUGCAACCAGUAACAUCUGUACACGGAGGCUACGCAUAUGCGGGGCAGAGCCCUCAGUAUGGUGGUGCCGGAGGGUACGGAGCGUACGGUGGCGGAAGCAAGGAGCUGCUUACGCUUUACGGUACGGCCGGCGCAGCGACCUCCGGAGCGAGAGGAGACGAGUCCCCGCCCGGCCAACUCCUCUACCGAAGCGAUCCUACACUAUCUUCAUCGUCUCUGACCACGCGCGGAACGCAUGUCGUGUACGGAUCGGUGGUACCGCAAUCGCAAACAGUUUACGAAGCUCCAGCUAGUCCAAACUCACAACAGGUAACAUUAUAUACUCAUGGUAAUGCUGUACAAUACAAAGUCGCCGGCGAGCACUACCUGGGUCAGGGCGGAGGCGUUGAGUACGUGCCCGUGUCUGGCUAUGACGGCGGCCUGCUUGUGGAAGGCUACGCGGCGCCGUCGCAGCCGUGGCCCGCACACAACAUGCUACCUAUUGACGACGGUUUUGAUGCCAGCAUGGCUGGGAUGGGAGAAGUGAAGGAAUGCGUGAACUGCGCAGCGGCCACCACUCCUCUGUGGCGACGCGACGGCACGGGGCACUACCUGUGCAACGCCUGCGGCCUCUACACGCGCAUCAAUGGUGUUAAUAGACCACCCCUUAAAGGGCAGAAAGCUAAACCUCAACAAGCACUGCCAACAAACGGUAACCGGCGCGUGGGAGUAACGUGUGCAAACUGCCGCACGUCCAACACCACGCUGUGGCGGCGCAACAACAACGGCGAGCCCGUCUGCAACGCCUGCGGCCUCUACUACAAGCUGCAUAACGUGAACCGGCCACUGAGUAUGAAGAAGGACGGCAUCCAGACGCGCAAGCGCAAGCCGAAGAGCAUGGGCGGCGCCCACGGCGUGCCGCGGCCCGGCGGCGCGCUCCCUGGUACGUGGCGCUAGUACCGCGCCUGUCAGAGUGGAGGCACACUCGCACAAGGUGCUGCCUCCGCUGUACGCGGCGGUGGAGGGCGGCGCCGGCCCGGGGCUGCUGCUGCUGCCUCCGGCGCGACACCACCCCGACAUGAUAUCACCGCUAGACCGGACUGCCGUGACCGUGGC
rnacentral:misc_RNA from 1 species